rnacentral:rRNA from 1 species
CCUGGGUAGUAUUAGUUAUUGUGCUUGAAAACCCAAAGAAUUUGGCGGUAUUUUAUUCUUUAUACAGGAGCCUGUCCUGAUAAUAUGAUAAUCCACGAUGGGGAAUUACUUAUUUUUGUGUUCAUUUUGUAUACCUCCGUCAUCAGAGUAUCUUUUUAGAGUUAAUAUUCAGUAGAUACAUAAUAUAAAAUGUCAGGUCAAGGUGCAAUUAAUAGAUAAGUAGAGAUGGGCUACAAUAAAUUUAUUUAUACGGAUUUAUUUAUUAUUAUUGAUAUAAUGAAGGUGGAUUUAAAAGUAAAACUAUUUCCUAAAUAUUUUGACUUUAGCUCUAAAAUAUGCACACAUCGCCCGUCGCUCUUAUUUUAAAAUAAGAUAAGUCGUAACAUAGUAGAGGUACCGGAAGGUGUCUCUAGAA